GCAGGAUGAAGGUUGUAUCUCAAAUCCUCUCCGUUCUUAUCCUAAUCAAUUCAACACAAUCCUUCUUAUUCAACUUCCAGGAGUGUCGUACUGCAGGAGCUCCAUGUUCUGUACCUACUGCUAAUACACCGUUCAGUGGACAGUGCUGUCAGAAUCUAGAUCUAAGAUGUUUAAUAACAGAUAACAACAUUGUCCCGACUACAACUGGUAGUUACAACGAAUGGGUAACAGCACGGACAUGCCAGUGAUUUUCUAGAAGAUGGAAGAUAUUGAUUUAAUUGAUAAUUGAAAAUUAAUAAAUUCAAAUAAUAAUAAGAGCAACCCUAA